rfam:Ascoidea rubescens DSM 1968 unplaced genomic scaffold ASCRTscaffold_8, whole genome shotgun sequence.
GGAGGGUUGGCCGAGUGGUCUAAGGCGGUAGACUUAAGAUCUACUGGGAGAUUUCCCGCGCGAGUUCGAACCUCGCAUCCUUCA